UGGGGAAUUGUUCGCAAUGGGCGCAAGCCUGACGACGCAACGCCGCGUGGAGGAUGAAGACCUUCGGGUCGUAAACUCCUUUCGAUCGAGACGAACGGCCUCCGGGUGAACAAUCCGGAGGAGUGACGGUACCGAGAGAAGAAGCCCCGGCUAACUCCGUGCCAGCAGCCGCGGUAAUACGGGGGGGGCAAGCGUUGUUCGGAAUUACUGGGCGCAAAGGGCUCGUAGGCGGCCAACUAAGUCGGACGUGAAAUCCCUCGGCUUAACCGGGGAACGGCGUCCGAUACUGGAUGGCUCGAGUGUGGGAGAGGGAUGCGGAAUUCCAGGUGUAGCGGUGAAAUGCGUAGAUAUCUGGAGGAACACCGGUGGCGAAGGCGGCAUCCUGGACCACGACUGACGCUGAAUAGCGAAAGCCAGGGGAGCAAACGGGAUUAGAUACCCCGGUAGUCCUGGCCCUAAACGAUGAAUGCUUGGUGUGGCGGGUAUCGAUCCCUGCCGUGCCGAAGCUAACGCAUUAAGCAUUCCGCCUGGGGAGUACGGUCGCAAGGCUGA
rnacentral:rRNA from 1 species